rnacentral:rRNA from 1 species
ACGGGAGGCAGCAGUGGGGAAUAUUGCGCAAUGGGCGGAAGCCUGACGCAGCGACGCCGCGUGGAGGAUGAAGGUUUUCGGAUUGUAAACUCCUGUCGGAAGGAACGAAUGAUGAACGGGGCAAUAUCCCGGUCAAGUGACGGUACCUUCAAAGGAAGCACCGGCUAACUCUGUGCCAGCAGCCGCGGUAAGACAGAGGGUGCAAGCGUUGUUCGGAAUUACUGGGCGUAAAGGGCGCGUAGGCUGGUCCCUAAGUUGGAUGUGAAAUACCGGGAGUAAAACCCGGAACUGCAUUCAAGACUGGGGGUCUGGAGUGUCAGAGAGGAAAGCGGAAUUCCUGGUGUAGAGGUGAAAUUCGUAGAUAUCAGGAGGAACACCGGAGGCGAAGGCGGCUUUCUGGCUGACAACUGACGCUGAGGCGCGAAAGCGUGGGUAGCAAACAGGAUUAGAUACCCUGGUA